AUUGAACGCUGGCGGCAGGCCUAACACAUGCAAGUCGAGCGAGCGGCGGACGGGUGAGGAAUGUCUGGGAAACUGCCUGAUGGAGGGGGAUAACUACUGGAAACGGUAGCUAAUACCGCAUACCAUCAGAUGUGCCCAGAUGGGAUUAGCUAGUAGGUGGGGUAACGGCUCACCUAGGCGACGAUCCCUAGCUGGUCUGAGAGGAUGAUCAGCCAAACUGGGACUGAGACACGGUCCAGAUUCCUACGGGAGGCAGCAGUGGGGAAUAUUGGACAAUGGGCGAAAGCCUGAUGGAGCAAUGCCGCGUGAGUGAAGAAGGCCUUCGGGUUGGAAAGCACUUUCAGCGGGGAGGCGGUACCCGAAGAAGAAGCACCGGCUAACUCCGUGCCAGCCGCCGCGGUAAUAC
rnacentral:rRNA from 1 species